rnacentral:tRNA from 1 species
CAGGAAGAAGUUUAAUAAAAUAUUAAUUUUGGAGAUUGAAGAUAAAGAUAUAGUUCUUUUUUCCUGA